rnacentral:pre_miRNA from 1 species
UCCACUCCGUCUGCCCAGUGUUCAGACUACCUGUUCAGGACUACGAGAUUGUACAGUAGUCUGCACAUUGGUUAGGCUGUGCUGGG